UACAGAGGGUGCAAGCGUUAAUCGGAAUCACUGGGCUUAAAGCGUGUGUAGGCGGGUCGUUAAGUGUCUUGUGAAAUCCCACCGCUCAACGGUGGAACUGCUGGGCAUACUGGCGAUCUUGAGCCACCUAGGGGCAGACGGAACAAGCGGUGGAGCGGUGAAAUGCGUAGAUAUCGCUUGGAACGCCGACGGUGAAAACAGUCUGCUGGGGGUGUGCUGACGCUGAGACACGAAAGCCAGGGGAGCGAACGGG
rnacentral:rRNA from 1 species